rnacentral:siRNA from 1 species
UUGUUUUCUGCUAACAGGUAAUCA